UUUUCAGGGGUUACUUGUAUUUUUUUUUUCAGGAGUUAAUUGUAUGGAUUAGUUAUUCAAGGGUUACUUGUAUUUUUUUUUUCAGUUACUUAUAUUUUUUUUUUCAAGGGUACUUUUUUUUAGGGGUUACUUGUAUGGGUUAAUUAAAGGGUUACUUGUAUGAGUUACUUAUUCAAGAGUUACUUAUAUGAGUUACUUCAAAUGUUACUUGUAUGAAUUACUUAUUCAAUGGUUACUUAUUACUUAAUCAAGGGUUGGUUGUAGGUUGGUUU